rnacentral:rRNA from 1 species
AGAGUUUGUUCAGGGCUCAGAUUGAACGCUGGCGGCAGGCUUAACACAUGCAAGUCGAGCGGCAGCGGAAAGAAGCUUGCUUCUUUGCCGGCGAGCGGCGGACGGGUGAGUAAUGUCUGGGGAUCUGCCCGAUGGAGGGGGAUAACUACUGGAAACGGUAGCUAAUACCGCAUAAUGUCGCAAGACCAAAGUGGGGGACCUUCGGGCCUCACACCAUCGGAUGAACCCAGAUGGGAUUAGCUAGUAGGUGGGGUAAUGGCUCACCUAGGCGACGAUCCCUAGCUGGUCUGAGAGGAUGACCAGCCACACUGGAACUGAGACACGGUCCAGACUCCUACGGGAGGCAGCAGUGGGGAAUAUUGCACAAUAGGGGAAACCCUGAUGCAGCCAUGCCGCGUGUGUGAAGAAGGCCUUCGGGUUGUAAAGCACUUUCAGCGGGGAGGAAGGCAAUGGCGUUAAUAGUGUCAUUGAUUGACGUUACCCGCAGAAGAAGCACCGGCUAACUCCGUGCCAGCAGCCGCGGUAAUACGGAGGGUGCGAGCGUUAAUCGGAAUUACUGGGCGUAAAGCGUACGCAGGCGGUCUGUUAAGUCAGAUGUGAAAUCCCCGGGCUUAACCUGGGAACUGCAUUUGAAACUGGCAGGCUAGAGUCUCGUAGAGGGGGGUAGAAUUCCAGGUGUAGCGGUGAAAUGCGUAGAGAUCUGGAGGAAUACCGGUGGCGAAGCGGCCCCCUGGACGAAGACUGACGCUCAGGUACGAAAGCGUGGGGAGCAAACAGGAUUAGAUACCCUGGUAGUCCACGCUGUAAACGAUGUCGAUUUGAAGGUUGUGGUCUUGAGCCGUGGCUUUCGGAGCUAA